GCAUUUCAAAGGCAAAUCCUUGCCAUGACUCACCCCUUCGCUGUCUGCUGGAGCUCUGGAAAUAGCUGCAACGUUAUAAAUAGCUUGUGCUCUGCACGGGGCAAAGGGAAGAGAAAGGCUGCGAAAGAUUGCCCUGACAGCGCUGCAAAGAAGGCAUCUGGAGUGUUUCUCGGAUGUUCCUUAUGAGUUUUACUUCCAGACAGAAAUCUGAAUAGAAAGAUGGAAUCAGCGAUACUGCUUUGAAUCUCAGUGUAGCUGGAGUCUCUGGCAGUCCUCACACGGAUGCAGACAUAUGAAGGUCCUUAUUCUUACAAAUGAGGCGCAUCAUCACCUAGAGAAUUCUCUGAGAAGGGCACAGUUCACCCGUCUGGAUUUAUCCCUGACUGAUGGAAAUGUAUUUACAUUCACUCUUUGAAACAGCAGAGAAAAGCCACUUUCCCCUGUUUCUCUGAACAACUUGAUUCCUUCAGUUUUUAUCCUGGGAUACGUACAAACAGCGUGUGAUGAAGACCUGCUGAAAGAUGAAGAGCUGAGUGCCUUAGUCACUUUAGAGCAUCUCCU